UACAGAGGUCUCAAGCGUUGUUCGGAUUCAUUGGGCGUAAAGGGUGCGUAGGCGGCGCGGUAAGUCGGGUGUGAAAUCUCGGAGCUUAACUCCGAAACUGCAUUCGAUACUGCCGAGCUCGAGUGCCGGAGGGGAGAGUGGAAUUCCUGGUGUAGCGGUGAAAUGCGUAGAUAUGGGGAGGAACACCGGUGGCGAAGGCGGCCAUCUGGACGGAUACUGACGCUGAGACGCGAAAGCGUGGGGAGCAAACAGG
rnacentral:rRNA from 1 species